UUAAGUUGGGCACUCUAGUGAGACUGCCGGUGACAAACCGGAGGAAGGUGGGGACGACGUCAGAUCAUCAUGCCCCUUAUGACCUGGGCUACACACGUGCUACAAUGGACGGUACAACGAGUCGCAAGCUCGCGAGAGUAAGCUAAUCUCUUAAAGCCGUUCUCAGUUCGGACUGUAGGCUGCAACUCGCCUACACGAAGUCGGAAUCGCUAGUAAUCGCGGAUCAGCAUGCCGCGGUGAAUACGUUCCCGGGCC
rnacentral:rRNA from 1 species